UGCAAGUCGAACGCAGUAGCAAUACUGAGUGGCAGACGGGUGAGUAACAUGUGGGAAUCUGCCUUGUGGUUCAGGACAACAUUGGGAAACCGAUGCUAAUACUGGAUAAGCCCUUACGGGGAAAGUUUUAAUGCCAUAAGAUGAGCCCGCAUUUGAUUAGUUAGUUGGUGAGGUAAUGGCUCACCAAGACAAUGAUCAAUAGCUGAUCUGAGAGGAUGAUCAGCCACACUGGGACUGAGACACGGCCCAGACUCCUACGGGAGGCAGCAGUGGGGAAUCUUGCACAAUGGAGGGAACUCUGAUGCAGCGAUGCCGCGUGAGUGAAGAAGGCCUUUGGGUUGUAAAGCUCUUUUGUAGGGGAAGAUAAUGACUGUACCCUAAGAAUAAGGUCCGGCUAACUUCGUGCCAGCAGCCGCGGUAAUACGAAGGGACCUAGCGUAGUUCGGAAUUACUGGGCGUAAAGCGCGCGUAGGCCGUUGAGUUAGUUAAUUGUGAAAUCCCAAAGCUUAACUUUGGAACUGCAAUUAAAACUGCUCGACUAGAGUUUGAUAGAGGAAAGCGGAAUACAUAGUGUAGAGGUGAAAUUCGUAGAUAUUAUGUAGAGCACCAGUUGCGAAGGCGGCUUUCUGGA
rnacentral:rRNA from 1 species